AGUGAACGCUGGCGGUAGGCUUAACACAUGCAAGUCGAACGGCAGCACAGUAAGAGCUUGCUCUUACGGGUGGCGAGUGGCGGACGGGUGAGGAAUACAUCGGAAUCUACUUUUUCGUGGGGGAUCACGUAGGUAAACUUACGCUAAUACCGCAUACGCCCUACGGUUGAAAGCAGGGGAUCUUCUGACCUUGCGCGAUUGAAUGAGCCGAUGUCGGAUUAGCUAGUUGGCGGGGUAAAGGCCCACCAAGGCGACGAUCCGUAGCUGGUCUGAGAGGAUGAUCAGCCACACUGGAACUGAGACACGGUCCAGACUCCUACGGGAGGCAGCAGUGGGGAAUAUUGGACAAUGGGCGCAAGCCUGAUCCAGCCAUACCGCGUGGGUGAAGAAGGCCUUCGGGUUGUAAAGCCCUUUUGUUGGGAAAGAAAAGCAGCAGGUUAAUACCCCGCUGUUCUGACGGUACCCAAAGAAUAAGCACCGGCUAACUUCGUG
rnacentral:rRNA from 1 species